rnacentral:rRNA from 1 species
UACGAAGGGGGCUAGCGUUGCUCGGAAUUACUGGGCGUAAAGGGCGCGUAGGCGGAUAGUUUAGUCAGAGUGAAAGCCCAGGGCUCAACCUUGGAAUUGCCUUUGAUACUGGCUAUCUUGAGUUCGGGAGAGGUGAGUGGAAUGCCGAGUGUAGAGGUGAAAUUCGUAGAUAUUCGGCGGAACACCAGUGGCGAAGGCGACUCACUGGCCCCGAUACUGACGCUGAGGCGGCGAAAGC